GGGUCCGUAGGCGGUCAGGUAAGUCAGUGGUGAAAGCCCAUCGCUCAACGGUGGAACGGCCAUUGAUACUGUCUGACUUGAAUUAUUAGGAAGUAACUAGAAUAUGUAGUGUAGCGGUGAAAUGCUUAGAGAUUACAUGGAAUACCAAUUGCGAAGGCAGGUUACUACUAAUAUAUUGACGCUGAUGGACGAAAGCGUGGGUAGCGAACAGGAUUAGAUACCCUGGUAGUCCACGCCGUAAACGAUGGAUACUAGCUGUUGGGAGCAAUCUCAGUGGCUAAGCGAAAGUGAUAAGUAUCCCACCUGGGGAGUACGUUCGCAAGAAUGAAACUCAAAGGAAUUGACGGGGGCCCGCACAAGCGGUGGAGCAUGUGGUUUAAUUCGAUGAUACGCGAGGAACCUUACCAAGGCUUAAAUGUAGAUUGACCGGUUUGGAAACAGACUUUUCGCAAGACAAUUUACAAGGUGCUGCAUGGUUGUCGUCAGCUCGUGCCGUGAGGUGUCAGGUUAAGUCCUAUAACGAGCGCAACCCCUGUUGUUAGUUGCCAGCGAGUCAUGUCGGGAACUCUAACAAGACUGCCAGUGCAAACUGUGAGGAAGGUGGGGAUGACGUUAAAUCAUCACGGCCCUUACGCCUUGGGCUACACACGUGCUACAAUGGCCGGUACAGAGAGCAGCCACUGGGCGACCAGGAGCGAAUCUAUAAAACCGGUCACAGUUCGGAUCGGAGUCUGCAACUCGAUUCCGUGAAGCUGGAAUCGCUAGUAAU
rnacentral:rRNA from 1 species